AGUCACUGACAUUAGAUACCCCCGUAGUCCCAGCCGUAAACUAUGCGCGUUAGGUGUACUGGUGACCACGAGUCACCGGGGUGCCGAAGGGAAAUCGUGAAACGCACCACCUGGGAAGUACGGUCGCAAGGCUGAAACUUAAAGGAAUUGGCGGGGAGCAUCACAACAGGUGGAGCCUGCGGUUUAAUUGGAUUCAACGCCGGACAUCUCACCGGAUAAGACAGCUGAAUGAUUGUCAAUCUGAAGGUUUUACAUGACUAGCUG
rnacentral:rRNA from 1 species